GAAAUGCGAUAAGUAGUGUGAAUUGCAGAAUUCAGUGAAUCAUCGAAUCUUUGAACGCACAUUGCGCCCUUUGGUAUUCCUUAGGGCAUGCCUGUUCGAGCGUCAUCUAAACCUUCAAGCCCUGCUUGGUGUUGGGUGCCUGUCCCGCCUCCGCGCGCGGACUCACCUCAAAUCCAUUGGCGGCCCCCGCGUCGGCCACGAGCGCAGCAGAAACGCGAACUCGUGAGCCCGUCCGGGCGGCUCCCAGAAGCUACACCCACCCAGUUUGACCUCGGAUCAGGUAGGGAUACACGCUGGACUUAAGC
rnacentral:misc_RNA from 1 species